GUGGGGAAUAUUGGGCAAUGGGCGAAAGCCUGACCCAGCAACGCCGCGUGAAGGAAGAAGGCCUUCGGGUUGUAAACUUCUUUUGUCAGGGACGAAGGACGUGACGGUACCUGACGAAUAAGCAACGGCUAACUACGUGCCAGCAGCCGCGGUAAUACGUAGGUUGCAAGCGUUGUCCGGAUUUACUGGGUGUAAAGGGCGUGUAGGCGGAGAUGCAAGUUGGGAGUGAAAUCCAUGGGCUCAACCCAUGAACUGCUUUCAAAACUGUAUCCCUUGAGUAUCGGAGAGGCAAGCGGAAUUCCUAGUGUAGCGGUGAAAUGCGUAGAUAUUAGGAGGAACACCAGUGGCGAAGGCGGCUUGCUGGACGACAACUGACGCUGAGGCGCGAAAGCGUGGGGAGCAAACAGGAUUAGAUACCCUUGUAGUCC
rnacentral:rRNA from 1 species